rnacentral:tRNA from 1 species
UCCAUUCUCGUCCAGUGGUUAGGAUACUUGGCUUUCACCCAAGAGACCCGGGUUCAAUUCCCGGGAAUGGAA